rnacentral:rRNA from 1 species
UACGUAGGUGGCAAGCGUUGUCCGGAUUUACUGGGCGUAAAGAGCGCGCAGGCGGUCGUUCAAGUCGCGUGUGAAAGCCCCCGGCUCAACUGGGGAGGGUCACGCGAUACUGAUCGACUCGAAGGCAGGAGAGGGAAGGGGAAUUCCCGGUGUAGUGGUGAAAUGCGUAGAUAUCGGGAGGAACACCAGUGGCGAAGGCGACUUCCUGGCCUGUUCUUGACGCUGAGGCGCGAAAGCUAGGGGAGCAAACGGG